rnacentral:rRNA from 1 species
CAAAGGUUGACCUCGGAUCAGGUAGGAAUACCCGCUGAACUUAAGCAUAU